UACGUAGGGGGCUAGCGUUGUCCGGAAUCAUUGGGCGUAAAGCGCGUGUAGGCGGUCCGGUAAGUCCGCUGUGAAAGUCGGGGGCUCAACCCUCGGAUGCCGGUGGAUACUGUCGGGCUUGAGUACGGAAGAGGCGAGUGGAAUUCCUGGUGUAGCGGUGAAAUGCGCAGAUAUCAGGAGGAACACCAAUUGUGAUGGCAGCUCGCUGGGACGUUACUGGCGCUGAGACGCGAAAGCGUGGGGAGCAAACAGG
rnacentral:rRNA from 1 species